rnacentral:rRNA from 1 species
AAAGGCMCACCGGCUAACUACGUGUCAGCAGGCGSGUAAUACGUAGGKGCCAGCGUGUCGGAAUUAUUGGGSGUAAGGCUCGCAGCGGUUUCUUAAGUCUGAUGUGAAAGCCCCCGGCUCAACCGGGAGGGUCAUUGGAAACUGGGAACUUGAGUGCAGAAGAGGAGAGUGGAAUUCACGUGUAGCGGUGAAAUGCGUAGAGAUGUGGAGGAACACCAGUGCGAAGGCGACUCUCUGGUCUGUAACUGACGCUGAGGAGCGAAAGCGUGGGGAGCGAACAGGAUUAGAUACCCUGGUAGUCCACGCCGUAAACGUGAGUGCUAAGUGUUAGGGGGUUUCCGCCCCUUAGUGCUGCAGCUAACGCAUUAAGCACUCCGCCUGGGGAGUACGGUCGCAAGACUGAAACUAAAGGAAUUGACGGGGGCCCGCACAAGCGGUGGAGCAUGUGGUUUAAUUCGAAGCAACGCGAAGAACCUUACCAGGUCUUGACAUCCUCUGACAAUCCUAGAGAUAGGACGUCCCCUUCGGGGGCAGAGUGACAGGUGGUGCAUGGUUGUCGUCAGCUCGUGUCGUGAGAUGUUGGGUUAAGUCCCGCAACGAGCGCAACCCUUGAUCUUAGUUGCCAGCAUUCAGUUGGGCACUCUAAGGUGACUGCCGGUGACAAACCGGAGGAAGGUGGGGAUGACGUCAAAUCAUCAUGCCCCUUAUGACCUGGGCUACACACGUGCUACAAUGGACAGAACAAAGGGCAGCGAAACCGCGAGGUUAAGCCAAUCCCACAAAUCUGUUCUCAGUUCGGAUCGCAGUCUGCAACUCGACUGCGUGAAGCUGGAAUCGCUAGUAAUCGCGGAUCAGCAUGCCGCGGKGAAUACGUUCCGGGCCUUGUACACACCGCCCGUCWCACCASGAGAGUUUGUAACACCCGAAGUCGGUGAGGUAACCYUUUUAGGASCCCAKGCCCCYCCG